rnacentral:rRNA from 1 species
CUAUUCAGUUGUGGUGGGUAGCUGCCUCCUCGUCGCGCGGGUAGCCUGCUCUGGGAGGGCGACCGGUCACACUGGGGCUGAGCCUCGGCCCAGACUCCUACGGGAGGCAGCAGUGGGGAAUAUUGCGCAAUGGGCGAAAGCCUGACGCAGCGACGCCGCGUGGGGGAUGCCGGCUUUCGGGUUGUAAACCUCUUUCAGCAGGGACGAAGUUGACGUGUACCUGCAGAAGAAGCGCCGGCUAACUACGUGCCAGCAGCCGCGGUAAUACGUAGGGCGCAAGCGUUGUCCGGAAUUAUUGGGCGUAAAGAGCUCGUAGGUGGCUGGUCGCGUCUGCCGUGAAAGCCCGCAGCUUAACUGCGGGUCUGCGGUGGAUACGGGCCGGCUAGAGGUAGGUAGGGGCAAGUGGAAUUCCUGGUGUAGCGGUGAAAUGCGCAGAUAUCAGGAGGAACACCGGUGGCGAAGGCGGCUUGCUGGGCCUUACCUGACGCUGAGGAGCGAAAGCGUGGGGAGCGAACAGGAUUAGAUACCCUGGUAGUCCACGCUGUAAACGUUGGGCGCUAGGUGUGGGGAUCUUGCACGAUCUCCGUGCCUGAGCUAACUCAUUAACGGGCUGGCGUCU